UCGCUUAGUUUUAAGGUAUAGAGGCAACUUUUUUGUAUUCUUUUGUUGAUUUUUAGGUUGUAGGAGUGAGUGAUAUUACCACUCCCUAGGUAAGAAAUGAGAUACCCAUUCUUUAUGAAAUCCUAUUCAUGGUGGAUUAAAAUUUCCAUCAAACAAUUACACAUACGAAAUGAUGGAAUUCUAUAAUCUAGAAAUGAAAUUCUCAUUCCCACUCCCCAUUCCUGCCAUUAAUGUGGCCUUAGAGAGUAGAAGCAGGCAUUACUUGGCUGUGGAGGUAACCAUGUAAUUGUCCAGAAUUUAGAAUUCACUCCUUUUUUUCACUUGCUCAUCUUGUUACAGCCUGCCAAGGAAGUACCUCCACGUUUGAU
rnacentral:lncRNA from 1 species